AACGAACGCUGGCGGCGCGUCUUAAGCAUGCAAGUCGAACGGCAAGAGAGGAGCUUGCUUCUCUCCUAGAGUGGCGGACUGGUGAGGAACACGUGGGUAAUCUACCCUUAAGAUGGGGAUAGCUGCUAGAAAUAGCAGGUAAUACCGAAUACACUCGGCAUAUCACAAGAGGUGUUGAGGAAAGGAAGCUACGGCUUCGCUUGAGGAUGAGCUUGCGUCCCAUUAGCUAGUUGGUGAGGUAAAGGCCCACCAAGGCGACGAUGGGUAUCCGGCCUGAGAGGGUGAACGGACACAUUGGGACUGAGAUACGGCCCAAACUCCUACGGGAGGCAGCGGCUAAGAAUAUUCCGCAAUGGACGGAAGUCUGACGGAGCGACGCCGCGUGGAUGAAGAAGGCUGAAAAGUUGUAAAAUCCUUUUGUUGAUGAAGAAUAAGGGUGAGAGGGAAUGCUCAUCUGAUGACGGUAAUCGACGAAUAAGCCCCGGCUAAUUACGUG
rnacentral:rRNA from 1 species